UCCUCCUACUCCGCACCUCCCCACAGCACAGCUCUGUGGUGCAUGGGGCACUGGGCGAAGGAUCCUGGCAGGAGCCCUGCAGGGCUCUGUCCUCAGGUGUGAUUUUUCCAACCCUGGAGUUGUCAAUGCUAUGAUCCACGUACAGUUCGAUCCUCAGGACUUGUGGAUUCUGUAUUUGUGAAUUCACCUACUCACUGAAAUUUAUUUAUAACCCCAAAAUCAAUAUCUAUGGUGCCUCUUCAGUCAUUUGCUGACAUGUGUAGGGCAGUGAAAAAUUUGAGUCUCCCUCCAUGCAUGUUCCCAACUGAAGUCAGACAAGGUGACCCUCUGCCUUUUAGUUUCAGCUCUCAGACUAUAACCAAGUAUCGUUUUCAUAGUCUGGUGCCACGUUUU